rnacentral:piRNA from 1 species
UCAUAGUUUCUGAUAUAUACG